UCAACUGUUAACACGACGAUAUUAUUCUUAUUCUCAUUCAUGUUAAUAGUACUAACAACAAAGAUAAUUUCAUUACCAUGCCUAAAAACCUCACCAGGCAGUCCAUUUGAAUGCUUGUGUUUUCUCCUCAGGGCGUUAUUGCGCCCCCCGCGACCCCGAAAGGGAAUAAGCGGUAGAAAAUGGAUGGAUGGAUGGAGUCUAAACAAUAAACAGUUGUUGGCGUGAGUCUAGACCACGUGACCAACACGCAAUGCAUCCUGGGAGAUAGAGGAACCGCGGGCCAAACUCUUUCAAAGCAGAUGAGUGGUGCUUUUCUACCGCAAACUGAUUGGAAUCUGAACAUUCUCCUGAACUGACUUGGCCAACAGACUAACACUGGCUCCAAUUUAAGAGCAAGCUGCAACCAACAGUCUAUCCACAGUGCGAAGACAGUUCGAAGGUACUGAUCCUCACCACUAUGGCGAAACAUAAACUCAGUUUCUUCCAAGUAGCAUUAUCACUGGAGGACUGGACUAAAAUAAAUAGGUAAACAUGCUUCACACACACAGCUAACCGGUAAAACUUCAAUGUAAAG